CAUUUUGCCCUCAUAAUAAUCUUCUGAGGCAGAUUGAAAGAUCAACCAGUCCACUUCAUAAUUCAAACUCUGCUUGAAAGCACGCCUGUCUUAAUGCCCAAAACUGACACCAGAAAAAUUCAUGCUACAGUCUUUCCCUAUUGAGAACUUCAUAUAGGUUCCUCUUUCCAACUAAAAC
rnacentral:lncRNA from 11 species